CUCCCUUCCUUCUUUCCUUCCUUCCUCUUCUGUGCUCUUCCCUAAUGUUAACCCAUCCUGUUCUCACACAUACUCAAAAGAGAAAGACAAGCCAUACAAAAAUAAUAGCCAGCUAGGGAAACAAAACAUCUAACAGCUUCAAAAUAUGUCAUCACUAUGGCUUGUUUCCUGUGUGGACCAAAGGACCCUCUUGUGUAGCUGCUCUUGUGUAGCAGUUCCCUGCCCCUCUUUUGUGAAUGUCAACGGCUUUCCCAUUUACAGAGGCAAGGCCGAGAGGGAGAGGGAGUCUGCAGCUCCACCUCCAGCCUGUGCAAACUGCCAGGAGUCGGCUCUGCAUAAGGCACAGUGCCAUUUGGUCAUCACUCAAGAACCAGUGUGAGCUUUUAAAGUGGAUCUGCUCCCUUCAAAACUUUUUUUUUUUGAGAGUCUUGCUCUGUUGCCCAGGCUGGAGUGCAGUGGUGUGAUCUGUGCUCACUGCAACCUCCACCUUCUGAGUUCAAGUGAUUCUCCUGCCUCAGCCGCCAAUGCAGCUGAGAUUACAGGUGCUUACCACCAUGCCCAGCCAAUUUUUCUAUUUUUAGUAGAGAGGGGGUUUUGCCAUGUUAGCCAGGCUGGUCUGGAUUUGUUUGUUUUUGAGAUGGAGUUUCUCUCUUGUUGCCCAGGCUGGAGUGCAAGUGGCGUGAUCUUGGCUCACUGCAACCUCCGCCUCCCGGGUUCAAGCGAUUCUCCUGCCUCAGCCUCCUAAGUAGCUGGGAUUACAGGCGCGUGCCACCAUGCCCGGCUAAUUUUUUGUAUUUUUAGUAGAGACGGGGUUUCGCCAUGUUGGUCAGGCUGGUCUCGAACUCCUGACCUCAGGAGAUCUGCCCCCCCUCGGCCUCCCAAAGUGCUGGGAUUACAGGUGUGAGCCACCGCGCCCGGCCAAAAAUAAAAUUUUUGUAGAGAUGCUGCCCUGUUAUGCUGCCCGGGCUAAUCUCAAACUCCUGGGCUCAAGCGAUCUGCCUGCUUCAGCCUCCCAAAGUGCUGGGAUUACAGGCAUGCACCACCUCGAGUUCAAAAUUCUUCAUUAUUUUCCAUUACUCUUGGAAUGAAAGUCAAACUUUUUACCCAGGGCCAGAGCCGGUCCCACCUACCUUGGUAACCACACCUCCCGUGCUCUCUGCCUCCCUCACUAAGCUCCAGACACACUGGCUUUUCAGUUCCUCAAACUGCCCAGGCAUUUUCCUCGUCAGGUGUUCUCCCUAGAGCCUGACUUGUCCCGAAAGCUCAUCUUGUCUCAGUCUUUCUGUAUGAGUGGCUCCUUUUCUUUCUUCAGAUCUGGGCACAAAUGUCACUUCCCAGAGGGGCUGCCCUAUCACUCGCACAUGGUUUUGUUUCCUUCGUAGCUUUCAGCAUUGGAGGUGUAUUUUUUUUUUUUUUUUUUUUUUGAGAUGGAGUCUCCCUCUGUCGCCCAGGCUGCUGGAGUGCAGUGGCGCGAUCCCGGAUCACUGUAACCUCUGCCUCCUGGGUUCCAGCGAUUCUCCUGCCUCAGCCUCCCGAGUAGCUGGCAUUACAGGUGCCCACCACCACGCCCAGCUAAUUUUAAUAAUUUCAGUAGAGAUGGGGUUUGACUAUAUUGGUUGGGCUGGUCUCGAACUCUUGACCUCAGGUGAUCCACCCACCUUGGCCUCCCAAAGUGCUGGGAUUACAGGCGUGAGCCAAAGCGCCCGGCUGGAGGUAUUCUUACUUAUUUUUCAGUCUCCCUCAGACCUGAAGGUCAGCUCUAAGAGGGCAGGGACCAUGGCAGCCCUGCUCACUGGCUGUACCCUUGUGCCUAGCAAUGCCUGACAUGUAUUUCUGUGCUCAAUUAUUUGCGCCAGGACCUCACGUCACAGUGGUGAAGAAGACACUACACUUAACACGCUCCAAUUCAAACCUCUGCCAAAAUGUGCUCCCUGUCUCAGUAAAGGGCUCUUUACCAAGGCCUUUCUGAUAUCUCAGUAAGCUGUGCUGAUACUCCACAGCAGCUCCCUCUUGAAAUCAGACCCCAAACCCUACCACUUCCCAUGAUCCUGGCAGAAGUUAAGUUGGUGGCCAGGCGCGGUGGCUUACGCCUGUAAUCGCAGCACUCUGGUAGGCCGAGGCGGGCGGAUCACGAGGUCAGGAGAUCGAGACCAUCCUGGCCAACAUGGUGAAAACCCGUCUCUACUAAAAAUACAAAAAAUUAGCUGGGUGGCGCGUGCCUAUAAUCCCAGCUACUCAGGAGGCUGAGGCAGGAGAAUUGCUUGAAUCGGGGUGUUGGAGGUUGCAGUGAGCCGAGAUCGCACUGCACUCCAGCCUGGCGACAGAGCGAGACUCUGUGUCAAAAAAAAAAAAAAAAAAAAAAGUUAAGUUGGACCCCUUACUCUUCCAAGGGCCUCCCCACUCAUUCAGAGCGAAUUCUGCGGUCUCCGCGGCCUUCCCUGGUCUGGCCCCUGACCAUCUCCUGCCUCUCUCCUCCCAGCUGCUGUCCCCUUGGUACUGCCGGCCUCCUGAGGGCCACGUUCCUGGGUUCUCGUAAUCAUCUUCUACCUGGUCUCUGUGAUUCCGGCCUUACGCGCACCCACGCCCUCCCAGCCGGCAGCUGCAGGGAUCCUUUUAAAACUGCCCGGGACUCCACUGCUCAAACCCUACCACCACUUCCCAUUUUCCUUAGAAAAAAAAAUCCAACAGGACCUAGCCCCGGGCUGCCUGUCAGACCUCGGCGAGCACGCCAGGCUCUGCACACCGUCUCUCGGAGCAGUCCCGAAGAGGCCGUUCCCACCAGACUCCGGGACCUCCUCAGGGCAGCUCUUCGUCCUCCACCCCGCAGGAAGGCUCUUCUCCCAAUCACCCCGCGGCGCAGCAAGCCUGGCCCCGCCGCAUCGCCCGCGCUGGACUCUGCUCUUCCACCGGUCGCCUGGCUACCGGCGCAGGACGCAUCCGCUGUCCGCUUGGUCGUCCCCCCUGGACUUUGUGCUUCAAGAAAGCGUCACUUUUUGCCGACGGCGGCACGCCCGGUCCUAGUACAGCGCAGGCGCUUAACACACAGCACCCAGCCACGAGGCCCGGAGUCAGAGGGCUUUGCUUGCCCAUUCACAGAGCCCUCACCCGCGGAUCAAAGUCGUAUUCCGCGACCGCAGCCCGGAGACUCCCGGGAGCGGCGCGGUGCGCCCCGCCCCCGCCAGGCUCUCGGCUGCCGGUUCCGCGCCGGGCC
rnacentral:lncRNA from 1 species